rnacentral:rRNA from 1 species
GGAGUUUGGACCGUGUCUCAGUUCCAAUGUGGGGGACCUUCCUCUCAGAACCCCUACUGAUCGUUGGCCAGGUGGGCCGUUACCCCGCCUGCAACCUAAUCAGACGCAUCCCCAUCCCAUAGCGAUGAAUCUUUGGUCAGAUUCAGAUGUCUUCGUCUGACAACAUAGAGUAUUAAUCCGACUUUCGCCGGGCUAUCCUCUACUCAGGGGAAGGUUGGAUACGCGUUACUCACCCGUGCGCCGGUCGCCGACAGAAUUAGCAAGCUAACUCCUCGAUGCCCCUCGACUUGCAUGUGUUAAGCCUGUAGCUAGCGUUCAUC